CCUUGCGCUUGAAUUUGGUUCUCAUCUUGCUAUUAAUAGUGCACGUUUGGGCCAUAAAAUAAAUUUACCUAGAGUUCAAUGCUGUCAGGUAAUGAACUUACAAGACAUUACAUACUUACACUUUAUGUUUUAAUUUCAGUCAUAUUUCAAACUUCUAUUGAAUCUAGAUUUUUAGAUUAGACACAUUUCAGUCGACAAUAACUGUACAAUGAUUACCAUAACAAAAUACAUGUAACGUGAAUAUUGAACAUUGU